AUAACACUACCGGGCUCAAACGAAUCUAGUAAUUGAAAUAUGUACAAUCUAAAUCCCUUAAUGAGGAUCUAUUGGAGGGUAAGUCUAAUGCUAGUAGGCGCAGUAAUUCAGCUUCAA
rnacentral:sRNA from 1 species